rnacentral:rRNA from 1 species
AUUGAACGCUGGCGGCAGGCCUAACACAUGCAAGUCGAACGGUAACAGGAAACAGCUUGCUGUUUCGCUGACGAGUGGCGGACGGGUGAGUAAUGUCUGGGAAACUGCCUGAUGGAGGGGGAUAACUACUGGAAACGGUUGCUAAUACCGCAUAACGUCGCAAGACCAAAGAGGGGGACCUUCGGGCCUCUUGCCAUCGGAUGGGCCCAGAUGGGAUUAGCUUGUUGGUGGGGUAACGGCUCACCAAGGCGACGAUCCCUAGCUGGUCUGAGAGGAUGACCAGCCACACUGGAACUGAGACACGGUCCAGACUCCUACGGGAGGCAGCAGUGGGGAAUAUUGCACAAUGGGCGCAAGCCUGAUGCAGCCAUGCCGCGUGUAUGAAGAAGGCCUUCGGGUUGUAAAGUACUUUCAGCGGGGAGGAAGGGAGUAAAGUUAAUACCUUUACUCAUUGACGUUACCCGCAGAAGCAGCACCGGCUAACUCCGUGCCAGCCGCCGCCGUAA